UACGAGGGGGCGAGCGUUGUUCGGAAUUAUUGGGCGUAAAGGGUGCGUAGGCGGUUUGGUAAGUCUGAUGUGAAAUCUAUGGGCUCAACUCAUAGUCUGCAUCGGAAACUGCCGGGCUUGAGUGUGGGAGAGGUGAGUGGAAUUCCUGGUGUAGCGGUGAAGUGCGUAGAUAUCAGGAGGAACACCUGUGGCGAAAGCGGCUCACUGGACCAUAACUGACGCUGAUGCACGAAAGCUAGGGGAGCAAACAGG
rnacentral:rRNA from 1 species